AACGAACGCUGGCGGCGUGGCUAAGACAUGCAAGUCGCGGGGUGAAAAUGAUCUGUAGCAAUACAGUGAAACACGACCGGCGAAAGGGUGAGUAAUGGAUGGGUAACGUGCCCUGGACACGGGGAUAGCCGUCCGAAAGGACGAUUAAUACCCGAUGACAUCACCGGCCCCCAUGGGCUGGCGAUCAAAGGUUGGGACCGCAAGGCCUGGCGGUCCGGGAUCGGCCCAUCUCCUAUCAGCUUGUUGGUGAGGUAACGGCUCACCAAGGCAUCGACGGGUAGCGGGACUGAGAGGUUGGCCCGCCACAUUGGCACUGAGACACGGUCCAGACUCCUACGGGAGGCAGCAGUAGGGAAUAUUGGGCAAUGGGGGAGACCCUGACCCAGCGACGCCGCGUGAGGGACGAGGGUUUUCGGAUCGUAAACCUCUGUUGUACGGGAAGAAGGAUGUGACGGUACCGUACGAGGAAGCCCCGGCAAACUACGUG
rnacentral:rRNA from 1 species